rnacentral:sRNA from 1 species
GCAUGUUGCCGAAGACAGUAGGUGCCGCAAGGCGUAACCGUUAGGCCUACCGAGGACAGUCAGUCGUUUGAUUACGAUAUGAUUAUGAUUUUUAGAGCCUCUUUGUCUAGCACAGAGAGGCUUUUCUUUUUAA